CCCUUUCGUUUACCGGCCGCUCAGUAGACGAAGGCGUCGAGUGAAACAGAACAGGAGGAGAUGCCUAGCGUAGGUCGGCCGUCGAGGGCGCGCCUCAACUGUUUGGUGGUGGUCUUCGCCGUCGCCUCGGCGCUGUGCGUCUCCGGCCCAGCGCUCUCUGGCGCUUCAAUAUUGGAUUCGUCGCCGCCGGUUCUCUCUCUUCAUCCUCCUCAUCCCUUCCCGGAUGCGCCCCUUGCGUCUGCGAUUGCCCGCCACCGGUCUCUCUCUCGGCCAUCGCCCUGGAUUGUUGAACCUCUCAGUUACGGGUAAAGGAGUAUCUGUAGUUUAUUGAAAUUGAAGUCCUAUCAUGGUGCCAAAUAAACCAACUUUAUUUUAUGGUGAAUUAAGUCAUUGGCGGCUUAUUUCUCAUGUUAUUAGUUUCAUUUUCAUUGCAUACUUUUAAAUAUUUAAAUGCUAGGCACCUGUGUGUAGAUAUCAAAGAACAUCUUGUGCAGGCUUAAUCAAUAUUUAACUCUUUUUUCAGAACUAUUUGAUGGUUGUCUUUACUGUUCUGACCAACACAUGUUUGGAUUAGGCACUACAAAUUCGAAAGAUGGUGAUUGGUGAGUGUGCAUUUUUUAGUUCCAUAUAUUAUUCUAGGAUAAGUUGCUGUCAUGAGACCUAGAGGUCACGGGUUUGAGUCUCGGAAAUAACCUCUGCGUAUAUUGACAGGAGCUUCUGGCACCAGGCGUCCUUUUUUUUGGGCAAAAAUCGAAAGGGCAGCCCAAAUUAAAAGAAACAUCAAAUGGGUGCCCCUUUAAUGAUUUUAUCUUGAAAAACACCCCUUUGAUCCAGCGUUAUUGUAGCAGCUACCCAGUAGCUGCUACAACGUGUAGAAGCUAUCCAGUAGCUGCUACAACACGUUUAGGGUGAGAUUAGGAUUUAGGGUUUAGGGUUUACACCGUGUAGAAACUACCGAGUAGUUGUUACAACGUAUAGAAGCUAAGCAGCUACUACAAUGUGUUUGGGGUUGUAACAAAUACAUAAUAGCUUCUACAAUCAUUUUAAAGUGAUUUUGAUGAAGUUCAUAAAUAGUAUUUUAAUAUAAUAGUGUUCAGAUACACUCUAAACAUGUUGUAGCAGCUAUUGGGUAGUUUCUACACAUUGUAGCAGUUAUUAGGUAACUUCUACACUGUGUAAGCUCUAAACUCAUCUUAAACAUGUUGUAGCAGUUAUCCGAUAGGUUCUAUUCUUCAAUAACAACGCUGGGUCAAGGUAUAUUUUUGGGAUAAAAACAUUGAAGGGGUGCCCUUUUGAUUUAUUUUGAAAAAGGGGCGCUCUUUUGAUGAUUUGCAAAAUUUGGGGCGUCCUUUUGAGUUUUGCCCUUUUUUUAUUUAUUAGUCUGGGACAAAUAUAUGGUUAUCUACAAUGAUUGAGACAGAUUCCCCUCAGCAAGACUGAAAACCACCAUAACUUGUUGAACAACUUGUUUCUGUAGGAUUGAAAUGUUCCAAGAGAAUUUUCUGAUCGAGUAUUUUAGCAAAAAAGCUGAUAUCUUCUCUUACGGUUUAUAGAAUCUAUUGAUGUAGCUCAUAUUGUGGUCAAAGAUAUGAUAUGUGAGUAGAAACUGUCUGAUGUACAAACCUAAAUCUGCUGUUCUGACUCUGGACUGAAACUAUCAGUCAGUUUCAAACAGAAGUUACCUCAGCAGUAAAUUAACCUUGGCAACUGGUUCUAUUCAUUCCUAUUCAUCUAUACCAUCUUUUUGUGGGGCAUAAUCAACUAUUUCUACUGAUGUUGUAAGUUUUGAGUUGUAACUUUUAAUUUCUUUUAACUGCUACUUACAAAUUAGAGUCAUAUACAUGCAAUUCUCAUGACUAUGAUUUCCAUGGUUGUGAAUCACGGCUGCAUGAGUCAUGAUUUUGUUUGCCCUAUGAAAAUUUGCUUUAUAUGCGUUGAUUAAACUGAUCUAAUAUUUGAUUAUUGUUUUUUUUUUUCAAAUGACAAGUUUAUAAGAUGGAUGGCAUCAAAUAACUAUGGAGAAAGUGUGAAGGAAAGAUACUAUUUAUGCUUUGUUCAUUCUUUUUUGGUCAAUGAUUAGAUAAAGAUUCAUAAACAGCAAAGAUAAAGACCAUAAUGGCUUCGAAAUUCUUCCCGAGGUGGAGAAACUGAAUGAUCAACAGAGUGUUGUAUUUCUGAAAUAAAAAGAUGGUCUUUAGGUUGCAUGUUUCAUUUAUUUGCUUUCACUUGUCAAUUUCCAACAUAUCCUAUGGCUCUUGAUCUUGUUUACAUCCAUCUUUACGAAUGUUAACUGCUGUGGUUAUCUAAUCUAAAACACUCCUCUGCAUUGAAGAUUGCGGGAAAGAUGAUCCUGAGAUCAGCAAGGAAAUGGAGAAACAGUUUGUGGAUCUCCUCACAGAGGAAGUGAAGCUACAAGAGGCUUCUUGAUGCCAAUAAAUCAGCUUCUCAAUACCAAAAAGAGGCCGAGAAGUGCUUUGCUGCAACUGAGAUCUGUGAGGAGGCUAGAGAACGAGCUGAAGCAUCCCUAAGAAAGGAGAAGAAGAUAACAACACUUUGGGAACGGCAAUCACGCCAACUAGGCUGGCAAGAUGCAUGAUCCAAGGUUAUGUACCUGCUCCAAAACCACGCUUCUUGCUAGUCAUCUCAGAGACUCAGAGUCAGCAGUAAAAGUUAACUGCAUAAAGGGAACAUUAGUAUCCAAAUAUCCACAUCUGCAACUUGUAGAGUUCAAUUAUUAUGCCGACAUUUUGAACUGAAUCAGUUAGUAUUGGAGAACUUUGAAAUUUGAAUAUCAAUAGUUAGAUUUCUUGAUGCAACUCUAACUGCCUAAGGUGGUAUUCUCAGGUUUGGAUAUCUGUUGGCACUAGUUUUGUAUAAAGUGUACUCACUGAUUUUAUGUACUAGUUAUGUUUUGUUUGAUAUACUUAGAUGAUUUUUUUUAAAAUAA